UGGGCCUACAUGAAAUUGAUAUAAUUUUAUUAAUCUAUACCAAAUAGACAAAACAUAUCAUUGUAAUAAAUCGAAGAAAAAUUUUCAUUUACAUAUUGCCCAUCAAAUAAACAUCAUAUUACACUCCUCUUAAACAAUAAAAAAAAUAUUGUAUAAAGGAAGAUAAUUUCCAACUUGCUGUCUUCAAUCCAUUGGGUUGGCUAGCUCUCAAAAAUCCUUCUUAUUAUUUUCUUCUUAGCCUGUAUCUUUCAUAUAGGAAAGAGCCUCCCUCCUUGAAGAUACUUGGUGCUUUGCCAAAACAGCGUUUGGAGUAUGUAUUUCUUCAAUCCAUUGUGCAAGAGGCAUCACCUUAAAUGUUUAGGAGAAGUUCAUUUAUAUCAUAACACCAUAAUCAACAAUCAAAAGAUUGCACUAGCUUCUAGGCCACCAUAAGAGCAUGAACAGACAAAAAAAAAAAAAAAAAAAAAAUAUUAUAUUCUCAGGAUUGCCAUCUCUGGAACUUAGUUAAAUGCCUUCUGACCUAGAUGGAACUUCAAUAAAUUUAACCAAGAGAUUAUGUGUGUGGUGUCAAUAAAUAUAUGCUAGAAUCAAGUAAGAAAGACAGGGACUAAACUGCCCACUUUCAAUUUUCCAUAUAACUCAUAUCAAACGUUAUCAUAUAUCACGUCUCAAGACUGCAUUCUUUAGAGUCCAAUUAUUGGAGAUACGUUGCUUGUGUAGAUAGAGUAUGCUACUUCCAAUUAAUUCUUUCUCAGGAGUGCAUUCUUUCAACCACAUAAUCACAUAUCUCAAGGGUGCAAUCUUUCGACCAUAAACACGAAAUGAAAUCUGCUAGCAAAUUGAACCAUAUACCAAUACCUUACCUUCGUUGCAUUAAGAGCAUCUUCAACUCUAAGCUUUUUCUCAUAAUCUUGCUCUGCAGCCUACUUGAACAAUAAUAGGUAAGGGUCAAGGACAGUAAACCUGUCAACGCAAUAAUGCAAGUUAAAGGGCAAACAGCCUCAUCACAAUAAGGCUUCUUAACCGUGCAACUCACUUAUUUACAGCUUCCUGUGUGCUUUCAUCACGAGCACCUUAUUUCUGUCAAAAUUUUAGCAACGACCGUCUUCCGUUGCGAUGGUCUCUUUAGGCUACGAAUUUUAACAACUAUUUGCCAAAACAUAAAAAAUCAUAAAACAUGACAUAGACCAGUACUCACUUCAUUUUUGGUGGCAUGAUGAAAAGCAAGUUUGAGGCUGGUUGAGUUCACAGAAGACAAGCUAUCCUAUCACUAUAAAUUUCAGUUCAUAAUGAGGUCCCAAGAAAUACAAGCUAUCCUAUCACUGUAAAUUUCAAUUCAUAAUGAGGUCCUAAAAAAUCAUAGAAGACUUGUGAAAAGUUAUUUUCUCCACAAGGAAAAGAAAAUAUGAACGAAAAAAAAGGGUCACAACAUCAACACUGUCCUUCUUAACACCUUAUAUGUAGUUGUGUUGGAAAAGUUGGCCAUGUAAUUACUCCCUAAGCCUACAACCUAGUUCACAUGCCAAGCAUGGCUGAACAUUAACCAGGUAAAUAAAAGCAUACUUUAAAAGUGAAACUUGUCAAAUUUACAAUUAAUUCAAAACCCUUAAAGUUUAGAAGAAGAAUAAGAUCAAACCCACAAAUAUAUUAGGACUAUGUUUUUUUUCCUUAAUUUGGCAUCAUUUGAAGAAAGUUAAACCAUCAGAGAAAUUGUGUUGGCUUUCUAAAAAUAAAACUUACAUUUUGAUAAGAUUUAUUUUUAAAAAGCCAAGAUUCGUGCUGUUGUUAAAAAGUCAAAUGAACUUGUUUCAAAUUUCAAGUUUCAACUGACAUUAAAGGCAAAUUAGGCAACAAAUCAACAAUCCUUUUUUGGAUUAAUUAGUGUAUAUCCACCAUAAUCCAUUCCUUCCAUCAACACUCAACACAAAACAAAAACAAUAAUUAAAAAAAAAAAGGGCUAACGCCGAUCAGAAAAACUGAACAGGGCCUAAAAUUAAAAGGCACUUACCGACUUGGUGACUCACCAUGAGGUCCGUGACAUGGUCAGUCCGUCUCCAUCACCCUCAAGAACUGGCACCCACAACUCGACAGUCGACACUUGCAACUUAUAGACCGUCGCGACUCGCCACAAGUUCUGCUGCUUCUACACUUCUGCUCUCGCUCUAGUCACUUCGUCUCUCGACGAUUUCAAUUUGGGAAUUCCAUUUGGAUCUGGCUCAGUGCCUGUCCAUUAUCGAGAGCAUGGUAAGAAAUAGAAUUGGGGCUUAAAGAAAGAGGAGAGAAAGAGGAACACAUGAGAUUAGAUGAAAUGGGACGAGAGAGAGAGAGAUGCGCAGUCUGCUCCAUGUGGUUUCUUGCCAUAAUUG
rnacentral:lncRNA from 1 species